CCUACGGGUGGCAGCAGUGGGGAAUAUUGGACAAUGGGGGCAACCCUGAUCCAGCCAUGCCGCGUGUGUGAAGAAGGCCCUCGGGUUGUAAAGCACUUUCAGUGAGGAAGAACGCCUGGUGGUUAAUACCCAUCAGGAAAGACAUCACUCACAGAAGAAGCACCGGCUAACUCCGUGCCAGCAGCCGCGGUAAUACGGAGGGUGCGAGCGUUAAUCGGAAUUACUGGGCGUAAAGCGCGCGUAGGUGGCUUGAUAAGCCGGUUGUGAAAGCCCCGGGCUCAACCUGGGAACGGCAUCCGGAACUGUCAAGCUAGUGUGCAGGAGAGGAAGGUAGAAUUCCCGGUGUAGCGGUGAAAUGCGUAGAGAUCGGGAGGAAUACCAGUGGCGAAGGCGGCCUUCUGGACUGACACUGACACUGAGGUGCGAAAGCGUGGGUAGCAAACAGGAUUAGAUACCCGAGUAGUC
rnacentral:rRNA from 1 species